CAUACUCCCAGGAACUGUGUGCCAGUCGGCUCCAUUGAUGACGUUGCCAUGCAAGGAGAAGUCCUGGCUAUGACAAGGUCGGCGGUCGGUAUCCUGCAUGGCCCUAUUCGUGCCAGCAUAGACAGUGCUGAGCCAGCGGAAGACAGCAUCAUCUGGUGUGGGAGUGAGUUCACGAGCAGCCCACGGAGUCCGAGUCAUGUCGAAAGGAUAGGACACCACAAGCUCGCCCCCAUGGAGGUCCUGCCAGCGGGCAACCUUGGGCAGCUGUGUUUUCUGGCAUAGUCUCCGCUCGUUAAAACAAUAUACCCAUUCUGGAGUAUUGUACCAAGGAGGCCCAUGAGAUGGAAAACCAGAGCCAUGAACAGGCAAGAAGCAAAUAACCCCGAGGCUCACAGUCAGAAGGGAUGUCCCAGAAAGAAGAUGCAGCACCUACGCCAUGGUGGAAUUAAUGGGGCUAUCCCAAAGGAGCUAGUGCUUGGUCUGGCUGUCAUUGCUGAACUGGACCUUGAAUGAUGUGACCCAGUCAUACCUGGCCGCAGAGAUAGAGAAACAUUAGUGACCCUGAAGAGCCACUAAAGUGGUGGCACUUCCAAGUCUGAUCACUAACAACUUCCAGGCUAAGCGUGAGCCUCACCUCCACACAGAGUUUCUGCCCUGUGUAACAAUUCCUGCGAAGCGGACGGGAUUCUUUGCAUCCACCUGAAGCCAAGGUUCAGUGUCUUGUUGCUCAGCGCACCAAGCGCCAUCAUACAGGUCACCGUCCUCCAGACCUGACUGUGGACACAAGGUCACGGUGAUCAAGCCCAGGCCUGGCUGAGCAAGGGCCACUGACCUGGAUAUUGAGCCGUCCUCGGUGUGCUCCAAGACCAAAGGACUGGCUGCUGGAGGCCUCCAGCUGGCUAUCUGAAACCCUCAAGGACUCCAAGCCUAGAGGGGGACAUCCUGGGGCGGACAUGCCGUUCUGAGGUCUCUAGGGUACCAGGGGACAAUGUACCAAAGAAGAGAAGAAUGUCAUGAAACCCAGACGGAAAGGUCUGCUAGCCCAAGAAGGCAUUUGGGCAUAUGUGACACCUACAACAAUUACUGACAUCCUAGCACAGCACACAAGACCUGUUUCCUAACUCCACCUGCCUCUUUUAGUCAUUUCUUCAGUUUUUCGCGAGCUGGAGGACCCAGCUGGGGGAGUGGGUCUGACCUGCCCAGCAGCCGACCAUGGGACCCAGAGCUCACCAUUUGCCUUUGUGGACGGCUGUGCAACGCUGCUGUGUGGAGCCAGGGUUGAGCCCGGCGCCAGGCCCGGCACUGAGGCGCUGGGAGCCCCCAGCCCCAGACCGACGGAAGGCGCAAAGGCGGUCACUGCGAGCAAGAGACCCCACAUAGCGGGAAGGGUCGACGAGCGCGCUGUGCCGAGGUUCUUGGGACCACUGCAAAGGAGUAAGCCCUGUCAUCUAGCCCAACUAUGGCACUCCAGGAGGGUCAGAGAACUCUGAGAAGGGAGUGAUCACGGAGGACCCAUACAUGUCCAAGUCCCGUUUUGGUGCUCCCACCUAAGAAGCAGUGCUAGGCUCAGCUCACCAGAUAGGCAUAGAGAAGUUUAAGGAAGACACCAUGUUCUACUGUCCUUUCUGAUGCUGUGACAAAAUACUCGGACAAAAGGCAACUUGGGGAAGGUAAGGAUUUAUUUCUAAUUACAGGUUCAUUCAGGGAAGUUGAGGCAGAACUCAGGCAGGAACGAACUUGAAAAACAGAAACCAGAGGAAACCCUGCUGGCUAGCUAGCAGGCUCCUGCUUAGAUUUUUUAUAUAGGACAGAACCACUGUCAGGGGAAUGGCGCUGCCCACAGUGGGCUAGGCCCUCCCUCAUAUACUGAUUAGCAAUCAGGAUGAUCCUACAUAGGCUGAUCUCAUCUCUGUGGUUCCUCAGUUAGGUUUUCCUCUCUGAUGUGUUGACAAUAAAGGCUAACAGAAUAUGUUUUAAAGCACAGACUUUCUGAAUACAGGGCCAGUGCACACAGGCAAGACCGUAGACUGCUUCCUUGACUUGCAGGCCACUCUCUGAGCCAAGUCUCAGCUCUAAGGAGGAGAGAAGACAAAAAUACCAACAGGACAACAGGACAUCUCAGACUCUGCCCCUACUCCCUCCUUCCAGACUCUCCCUCAGAGCUUCUAUAUGUCCCUCUUAGUCCCUGAGCCCCUUGGCAUCUUCUCACACCCAUGUCUUGCUAGGCUACUGUCUCUGGCCCCGGCCACUUGAUACACAAAGGCAGGAAGUCAAAAGACUAUUGACUCUAGGGACAUGACAGCAACUUUAUAUCCAAUCACCCACAGAGCCUGGUCUCUAUCUCUAAGAGCCACAUGGAGGACCUUUGGAUAUCACAGGGCAAGUAUAUGUCUCAGGGAACAACCUCCUAGGCUCCUAGUAGGGUGGGGCACCUGUCCAAAGGAGUUCUUAGACGAGGGACAGGCUGGGAUCAGGAAGAGCUCAAAGAUGACAUGAGCAGAACAGCAAGCCUCACUCUCAAAAGGAAACGUUAAAGAAUACAAUGAAUAAAUAAAAUUCUGAUUC
rnacentral:lncRNA from 1 species